rnacentral:lncRNA from 1 species
AACUUAAAAAUAAAAACCCGUCUUAUUAACAUGGAAGGACUUGGAAAUCGACAGUAAUUUCUUUAUCGGCCAAUUUUGACAUAUAAAAAUAUAAACAUUAACUAAAUUUCCGUCUUUAAAAAUGGGAAGGUCUCCAAAAUCGACGGAGAGAUUUUCUCAUUCGCCAAUUUUGAACAAACAAAAUAUAUGAACUUAAACUAAAUUUCCGUCUUUAAAAAUGGGAAGGUCUCCAAAAUCGACGGAGAGAUUUUCUCAUUCGCCAAUUUUGAACAAACAAAAUAUAUGAACUUAAACUAAAUUUCCGUCUUUUACAAUGUAAAGGCUUCCAAAACCGACGGCGAGAUUUUCUCAUUGGCCAAUUAAAUAUUUUUCUAACAUGAAAUCAUAUGAAACUAACUAAAGGAAAAUAUAUGACAAUCAAAUUAUAACAACAUAACAAAACAAUAAUAAUUAAAAAUGAUAACAUAGCAACACGAUUUUCUGCAAAGUCAUAUGUGAACAGUGUGCAAUAAAUAACCUUAACAAAUUUAAUAAAACAUAAAUGAGUUCAUCAAUAAAAAUACAAAACAAUAACGACAACCAAAAUAAAAAUAUACCACUCAUGAAUAUUAAUCAAGUAUAAAAUAAAAUUAAAGGGUAUCUAGAUAUUUACAAUCAUUGUAAAUAAAACAAAGUGACCAAUAAUGGCCAUAAACUAAACAAAAUAAUGAAAUAGGCAGCAAUAUAAUUCACUUGAAACUUUAGAAAAGAUAAAAA